UAGUCUUUCAUAGCUCUAUCUCCGUCAACUACAUAUGUAGUUGACGGAGGUUGAUUUUUGUGUAAGAUACUCCUGGGCGUUAAUGGUUCUUUGUUGUAUUAGACAUGAUGUCGCUGUGUAGUAUCUUGUGCCCGCAUCAAGAUGUCUGAACUUGUGCUAUGCAGUUAGUCAGCCGGCAACCGAUGUGGAAUGGCAUUCUUUUUUCCCGGGAAUGGCGUUCUUCUUCUUGACUUCUUCGAAGAACUUUGGAAAACUUUUGCUACCAAUGAAUCUUGGCAGGCAUUGAACUGAUCUUGGAAGCAUGGCCGCCCCAUUUCAGAUCUACCCAAGACAACAUAAGUCUUAUGUCUUGAGGACAUGUUGCCGGAAAUACAACAAACAAAUCAUUGUCACGGUUUCUUAAUUUUAAGGUUGCUAAUGUUAAGAGCCUUGGUUAACUCUUGGUUAAGGUUAAUUUAGGUUAUGUUUAGUCUUCGGGUUUUGGUGGUUUUCGUGGUUUAUUAAUUUUUCUGUAAACUAACAUUUAAGUGGCCACGUUUUUUUUUCAGCCUGCAACGUGGUUACCUAAAAUUGGGCUCCUCCUCGUUCUUUUGAACCAGGUGCUUACCGCUUUAGACAGGGAGCAGUAUACAGAUUACAGGGCUUACAAAACGGCACCUGCAACUAUAAAAAUUAGUUUAGUGAACUAUUUGUGCAAGCUACCUUUUUGCUUAAUUUUGUAGUUUAAUAAUUUAGGGUUACACGUAAUUUGGGUUUUGCAAGCAAAUUUUUGUUGUAGGGAUUAGUUUAAUUUCUCUACAGGA